GUGACUGCGUACCUUUUGUAUAAUGGGUCAGCGACUUAUAUUCUGUAGCAAGGUUAACCGAAUAGGGGAGCCGAAGGGAAACCGAGUCUUAACCGGGCGUUAAGUUGCAGGGUAUAGACCCGAAACCCGGUGAUCUAGCCAUGGGCAGGUUGAAGGUUGGGUAACACUAACUGGAGGACCGAACCGACUAAUGUUGAAAAAUUAGCGGAUGACUUGUGGCUGGGGGUGAAAGGCCAAUCAAACCGGGAGAUAGCUGGUUCUCCCCGAAAGCUAUUUAGGUAGCGCCUCGUGAAUUCAUCUCCGGGGGUAGAGCACUGUUUCGGCAAGGGGGUCAUCCCGACUUACCAACCCGAUGCAAACUGCGAAUACCGGAGAAUGUUAUCACGGGAGACACACGGCGGGUGCUAACGUCCGUCGUGAAGAGGGAAACAACCCAGACCGCCAGCUAAGGUCCCAAAGUCAUGGUUAAGUGGGAAACGAUGUGGGAAGGCCCAGACAGCCAGGAUGUUGGCUUAGAAGCAGCCAUCAUUUAAAGAAAGCGUAAUAGCUCACUGGUCGAGUCGGCCUGCGCGGAAGAUGUAACGGGGCUAAACCAUGCACCGAAGCUGCGGCAGCGACACUGUGUGUUGUUGGGUAGGGGAGCGUUCUGUAAGCCUGUGAAGGUGUGCUGUGAGGCAUGCUGGAGGUAUCAGAAGUGCGAAUGCUGACAUAAGUAACGAUAAAGCGGGUGAAAAGCCCGCUCGCCGGAAGACCAAGGGUUCCUGUCCAACGUUAAUCGGGGCAGGGUGAGUCGACCCCUAAGGCGAGGCCGAAAGGCGUAGUCGAUGGGAAACAGGUUAAUAUUCCUGUACUUGGUGUUACUGCGAAGGGGGGACGGAGAAGGCUAUGUUGGCCGGGCGACGGUUGUCCCGGUUUAAGCGUGUAGGCUGGUUUUCCAGGCAAAUCCGGAAAAUCAAGGCUGAGGCGUGAUGACGAGGCACUACGGUGCUGAAGCAACAAAUGCCCUGCUUCCAGGAAAAGCCUCUAAGCAUCAGGUAACAUCAAAUCGUACCCCAAACCGACACAGGUGGUCAGGUAGAGAAUACCAAGGCGCUUGAGAGAACUCGGGUGAAGGAACUAGGCAAAAUGGUGCCGUAACUUCGGGAGAAGGCACGCUGAUAUGUAGGUGAAGUCCCUCGCGGAUGGAGCUGAAAUCAGUCGAAGAUACCAGCUGGCUGCAACUGUUUAUUAAAAACACAGCACUGUGCAAACACGAAAGUGGACGUAUACGGUGUGACGCCUGCCCGGUGCCGGAAGGUUAAUUGAUGGGGUCAGCGCAAGCGAAGCUCUUGAUCGAAGCCCCGGUAAACGGCGGCCGUAACUAUAACGGUCCUAAGGUAGCGAAAUUCCUUGUCGGGUAAGUUCCGACCUGCACGAAUGGCGUAAUGAUGGCCAGGCUGUCUCCACCCGAGACUCAGUGAAAUUGAACUCGCUGUGAAGAUGCAGUGUACCCGCGGCAAGACGGAAAGACCCCGUGAACCUUUACUAUAGCUUGACACUGAACAUUGAGCCUUGAUGUGUAGGAUAGGUGGGAGGCUUUGAAGUGUGGACGCCAGUCUGCAUGGAGCCGACCUUGAAAUACCACCCUUUAAUGUUUGAUGUUCUAACGUGGACCCGUGAUCCGGGUUGCGGACAGUGUCUGGUGGGUAGUUUGACUGGGGCGGUCUCCUCCUAAAGAGUAACGGAGGAGCACGAAGGUUGGCUAAUCCUGGUCGGACAUCAGGAGGUUAGUGCAAUGGCAUAAGCCAGCUUGACUGCGAGCGUGACGGCGCGAGCAGGUGCGAAAGCAGGUCAUAGUGAUCCGGUGGUUCUGAAUGGAAGGGCCAUCGCUCAACGGAUAAAAGGUACUCCGGGGAUAACAGGCUGAUACCGCCCAAGAGUUCAUAUCGACGGCGGUGUUUGGCACCUCGAUGUCGGCUCAUCACAUCCUGGGGCUGAAGUAGGUCCCAAGGGUAUGGCUGUUCGCCAUUUAAAGUGGUACGCGAGCUGGGUUUAGAACGUCGUGAGACAGUUCGGUCCCUAUCUGCCGUGGGCGCUGGAGAACUGAGGGGGGCUGCUCCUAGUACGAGAGGACCGGAGUGGACGCAUCACUGGUGUUCGGGUUGUCAUGCCAAUGGCACUGCCCGGUAGCUAAAUGCGGAAGAGAUAAGUGCUGAAAGCAUCUAAGCACGAAACUUGCCCCGAGAUGAGUUCUCCCUGACCCUUUAAGGGUCCUGAAGGAACGUUGAAGACGACGACGUUGAUAGGCCGGGUGUGUAAGCGCAGCGAUGCGUUGAGCUAACCGGUACUAAUGAACCGUGAGGCUUAACCU
rnacentral:rRNA from 1 species